CCCCAUCAAUGAUGCAAUGUUGAGGGGCAGCACACUCUUGUGCAGGCAUGCUUUUGCUGUUACUCUCACAUCUUCUAGUCCUUACAGUGUGUCGGCCUCUUAGACUUCCAGAACCUUGGAGGAGAGAUGCCCCCCUGUUCAACACCUCACAGGGAGUUGUCAUAUACCUGCGACUGAGACUUUCCUUUAGUCUACAGGCUUCUGGGGACACUGUCUGUUCAAGAGUAAAGUGAUUUGUUUAUGGAAGAAAAGAAAAAAAGUCAGAUCUGUUCAUCAGAAAAGACAAAAAAGAAGAAUUGAAACAGUAGACUUCCAAGAGAUGACAAGAUACAAUGAGACAGAGCAAACGCCCUCGCAUCGAGGCCAAGCAAGGCAACCCAAUUUCUGCAUUAAGUUUCUUGUGUUUUACUAGAGCUUACCUGAUGGAGUAAGGGUGAUGAAUACAUCAGUCACUGAAAGGAGGUAGAGGGCUGCCCUUUCUCUUGCUGCCUACUGUUUCUAACCCAUCCCCCCGCCCCUGAAGCACAGUCCUCCCUGCUUUUUCUAUACCUUCAGAUUGAUUGUUGAAGGGAAAAGACAAAUGGAGUUUGUUCAACCAAUUACUUUAACUUUAUAUACAACUCAAACCCAUAGACGUUUGGAUGAGGAUCUCUCAAGGAUUUCCCCGUAGAAUGAAGAGCACAAGUUAACCUUUAACAACCAUCAGAAACUCUUGGGAGGAGUUAACAACAAAAACAAAAAGUCCUCAUGCUUGUCUCCUGCUCCCCAUUCUGGAGACGCCAUGCUAUGGGGAGCUCUCCGGAUAACUCUGCACCCUGCCAGAAAGCACUCUAUUAUGCUGUGAUUUUUUUGGGGGAGUUCUGGACAAGUGGACCUGUGUGACCCUGACCUAACUAAAAGAGAACAAAGAAAUAGACUGUACUGAAACCCUGGCUGAGGGUGCUGGGGAACUCUUCCCCUUUGGUGAGAUUCUCCCUGGAGUAUCAUCAACAUUUGUCCAGAUGCUGCUGGAGUCUGCGCCUGGAUACCAAGGAUCUUUUCCUUCCCAUUGCUUCCAAGCUGCUGAGCCAUGAUUUCUUCCUUGUCUCUCCAGUUGGCAGCACAUCUCUUUACAGUAGAUUGCUCUUCAGUUCACAGGUAUCAUAUCGUUCUCCCAACGAAAUAAGUCAAGCAAUCAGAGACUGUGGCUAAUACUGAAAAACUCUAUCUACAGAUGCUUGUUUCAGAACCAAUCAAACAUUGUUAUAUACUUUCUGAGACAAAAAUCUUUGUGAGACAAAUGAAUUCCAUGCACAGGCCAAUGGCCCAUUUCUUUGGAACAAUACUCUAAGCACAGGAAAAUUCUAAUUAAAAAAAAAAAAACUAAAACA
rnacentral:lncRNA from 1 species